rnacentral:rRNA from 1 species
GAUGAACGCUGGCGGCGUGCCUAAUACAUGCAAGUCGAACGAAACUUCUUUAUCACCGAGUGCUUGCACUCACCGAUAAAGAGUUGAGUGGCGAACGGGUGAGUAACACGUGGGCAACCUGCCCACAAGAGGGGGAUAACACUUGGAAACAGGUGCUAAUACCGCAUAACCAUAGUUACCGCAUGGUAACUAUGUAAAAGGUGUCUAUACUACCGCUUUUGGAUGGGCCCGCGGCGCAUUAGCUAGUUGGUAGGGUAAAGGCUUACCAAGGCAAUGAUGCGUAGCCGAAUUGAGAGGUUGAUCGGCCACAAUGGGACUGAGACACGGCCCAAACUCCUACGGGAGGCAGCAGUAGGGAAUAUUGCACAAUGGGCGAAAGCCUGAUGGAGCAACGCCGCGUGGAUGAAGAAGGUCUUCGGAUCGUAAAACCCUGUUGUUAGAGAAGAAAGUGCGUGAGAGUAACUGUUCACGUAUCGACGGUAUCUAACCAGAAAGCCACUGCUAACUACGUG